rnacentral:lncRNA from 1 species
UUCCUGAUGCUGUUUUCUACCAAGAAUCUGGUCUUCUUUUCUACAGGUACUAACUCCUCCCUACUUUUCUGUCGGAUGAUUCUCACCAACAACAUUUGCUCUUUGAACACAGCUUGAAAAGACACUCUGGACAUAAGACAUCUUCCAAAACUGUUUCAGAGGGUAGCAAGAACAGUGGGAUAAGCUCAGGAGGCCCCAAAUCAGUGGGGCAACAGGAGGCAGCCUUUGGAGGCCAUGUGAAGAUUCUACUUCCACCUUCUCUUCCACUCGAUCAAGUAACAGAUAGCUAUGUAAGACCCGCACUACCACUUUGCACUGCCUUUACCCUAAUUCUCAAGAGCCAACAGUAUGGAGGUAACAGCAUCCUUAGUUCACCA